rnacentral:rRNA from 1 species
AGUGAACGCUGGCGGUAGGCCUAACACAUGCAAGUCGAACGGCAGCACAGUAAGAGCUUGCUCUUACGGGUGGCGAGUGGCGGGCGGGUGAGGAAUACAUCGGAAUCUACUUUUUCGUGGGGGAUAACGUAGGGAAACUUACGCUAAUACCGCAUACGACCUACGGGUGAAAGCAGGGGAUCUUCGGACCUUGCGCGAUUGAAUGAGCCGAUGUCGGAUUAGCUAGUUGGCGGGGUAAAGGCCCACCAAGGCGACGAUCCGUAGCUGGUCUGAGAGGAUGAUCAGCCACACUGGAACUGAGACACGGUCCAGACUCCUACGGGAGGCAGCAGUGGGGAAUAUUGGACAAUGGGCGCAAGCCUGAUCCAGCCAUACCGCGUGGGUGAAGAAGGCCUUCGGGUUGUAAAGCCCUUUUGUUGGGAAAGAAAAGCGGCAGGUUAAUACCCCGCUGUUCUGACGGUACCCAAAGAAUAAGCACCGGCUAACUUCGUG